GUGCCUCGGCGGAGAGGCCCGGCGGGAACCAACAGCCGCCGCGGCGGGAGCUGGCUCCGGUGGCCGGAGGCGGGUCUUUCCUUUCCCGCAGAUCCCGCAAACGCUCCGCUCCCUGGAGCCGCUGCCUUCAGUGCGCUCAGACCCUGGAUGUUAAGGUUCACGAGGGCGCCAGCUGGCGCCGGGAGAAGUAGCGACGCCCCCACCUAUCAUCUUCCCAAGGCAGCGCCUGGGGGCCACCAAGACCGAGGCGCAGUUGGAGCGCGAGCGCGAGCCUGAGAAGCGCGGACGCAAGCUGCCAGCGCGGGGCCCGCCGGAGCCCGAGCGGCUUCCGGCCGAAAGGGAGACGCACUUGAGUGAUCGCGAGGAGCAAACUUGGCGCUCUCGGCCCCGGGCCUCGGAGAGGUGAGAGAUUCCGGCUGAGCUCCUCUCCUCCCUUCCAAGGCCGAGACCCCGCCACACAUCCUCUUGCGGCGCCACGGGACUCCAGGCGCGGGACUGUGUGCGGGAAGACCCAGGAGCGCGUCGCCCGCCUGUCGGGCUCUCCCCGAAGCUUCUCUGCGGCGCUCUGGCCGCAUUCCGGGAGCCCGGACCGAGCCAUCGCUCUGAGUUUGCCCGUACUCCGCCCUUUUUCGUCUUUGUAUCCGUUUGUCUUGGGCUCAGUGACUCUGUUGUCUCUCGCCUUCAGUGAAUCUCUGCCUCCGUUUCCAGUGGAAACCCUGCGUUUGUCCGGGUGUCUCUGGGGGUCGAGAAUCCCUCGUUCAAUUUCCCCCACCCCCAGUCGCACUGCAGGGCUGCCCCCCCCCCCUUUCUGGCCGGCCCCGGACCCUUAGGCUCUACGGACCAGCAGCAGGACCCCCACAGAGACCUUCCUCAAUGAACCCUGACCUCAGCCCUGGGCCAGCGUUGCCUCAUCUCUCAGGAUCCUGUGCACACAAGAGUAGAUCAAUUCUUGGCAGCUGGGACUGCCUACCAUAACCCCAUUCCAAGCCCCCCUACAACGGGGCAGCUACCAAGAGCUGCCAAGAAGAAUGGAGGAGGACGGGAGACCUGGGAGCGCUUCCAAGGAGAGGUGGUAACUGCGGCUAGUUUUCCUCUUCCACACUAAGCAACUGGGUUCCCCACUGGAGCAAGUGACUUCCAGCCACCAGAAGCAACUCCCAGCCGAAAACAGCAUCCAAAUGCAUCCUGGCUUCCUUCCCUGGAUUUCCUGCUCCAAUCAGACGUGCAAAAUUUCUCCCACAAUUUACCUCAACUGAAACAAAGAAAUAAACCAAGAAAAAAGACGAGGUGGAAUCCAGGAAGCAGAGAAUCCAGCACUGGACAGAAGUGGAGGGAAUUCCAAGGAAUCCCAAGGAUAACACUGAUGAGAAAUUUCAGGUCCACAUCUGUGCAGCAGACAUGGAGAGCAGUCAGCUCAUACUGGAUCUGGAAGACAGAGAACUCUAAGAUAAAUACUCCCAAGAAAGGAAGAAUACAACCACCAACAGCAAUGACAGACUUCCUGAUAAGUUUGACCUCAUGAAAAAGUACACCCCAAUGCUUUCGGAAAAUACAGGAAGAUUUAGCCAUAGGGACAAAGAAAGCUAGGCAAAUGAAAAAAUAAGGCAUUGACUCCAGGAAAAGUUAAAAGUUGCACCAAAAAAAAAAAAAUUGUAGUCAUGAUGCACUAGCAGCUUAUCUGAGAACAAUAUUCAUAUGGUAACAGAAUGUAAAUGCUAAAAGCUGAUGGUUUGGGCAGGGAUGGAAAGAAAUAAUGAUUUUAGAGGUAAAUGAUUAUUAUGAUAGGAAAUUAAUCAUACUGUUUCAAGAGAACAGAAAUGUGGAAGUAUAUUCCAAAAGAGACAAAUAGGAAUUGAAAGUAAAUGCUUCUAGGGAACAAAACAGGGAUCCUGACAGUAGGCAAGGCACUCUCAUAGGCCUUUGCUAUUUGACUUGUUAGAUUAUAUGCUUGUUUCAAUUUAAUAAAAACAAAAAUUAAGUGUCAAAAAUGUGUCUUCAGAUUAAAGAUAGGUUCGAGUUUUCUACAAGGAUGAAGGGGGGAGUAUUUGCUUAAGGUUCCUAAAGGCUCUAUUCAGAUUAUUUUCCCCUAAAAGGGGGAAGAGAGAAUCAUAUUGAAAUCUUACUUCUAGAUAAGUGGUUGGCACUUGUAAAGACAAGAGUUGAAUUAGGGCUUUUGUUUUUGUUUCUUCAACAUCUACCAAGGUGUCAAAAUUCUUAGGGCAUUCUAUGACAUGUAGCAUAUUCUGUGAGGGCAUAAACAGAUUCUGUAUUGGCCUCAGAGCCCAGCACAGGGCCCGGCACAUAGCAAGCCCGACACUGUUGAAUAAAGGAAAAUUAAAGAGGCAUUUAAAAAAUC